rnacentral:rRNA from 1 species
CGCCUGUUUAUCAAAAACAUGUCUGUGUGAAUUAGUUAUAAAGUCUAGCCUGCCCACUGAUUUAUUUAAAGGGCCGCGGUAAUUUGACCGUGCGAAGGUAGCAUAGUCAGUAGUCUUUUAAUUGGAGGCUUGAAUGAAUGGUUGGACGAGGGAUAAACUGUCUCCUUAGCGGCGUUUGAAUUUAACUUUUGAGUGAAAAGGCUCAAAUUGUUUAGGGGGACGAUAAGACCCUAUAAAACUUAAUAUAAUUUAGGCUUAACUUGCGAUGUGGGUGAAAAGUAGUUUUGCCUGGUUUAUAUUUCGUUGGGGAGAUGAAGAUAUAAUGAGUAACUGUCUAUAAAAUUUUAUAGCAUUGACUAGAAUUUGAUCCUUCCUUGGGGAUUAGGAGAAUAAGUUACUUUAGGGAUAACAGCGUGAUUUUCUUUGAGAGUUCUUAUCGACAAGAGUAGUUGCGACCUCGAUGUUGAAUUAAAAUUUCAGCUAGGUGUAGCCGUUUAGCUGGUGGGUCUGUUCGACCUUUAAAAUUUUACAUGAUCUGAGUUCAAACCGG